GUUGCUAUUAUAGUCAUAUCUGACAAAAGUUUUAGAAAGAACACGUAAUGAUGAAACCUUAGUGUGCCAUCCCAUCCAAUUUUUUACUUUCACAUUAAAUUUACCAUUUUUAAGACCAUUCUGUGGGGAUUGCUUUUUAACUUGCCAUUUUUAAAACUAUUAUGCGGGGCUUACUUUUUAUUUUAUUUUUAUAAAGAAUAGAAAGUUAACUUCAGCCUCUUGGCAUAUGAAUUUUCCAAAUAAAUUAUUCAUUUAUCAUUGAUCUUUAUGUUUUGGGUCUGGUUAUUUUCUAAUUAAAGAGAGCUUUAGUUUCCUACUUAUAUAGAUCAUAGAUUGAUUUUUCGGUUUUUUUUUUUUUUUUUUUUGGAAAAAAAUAAGCAUCCACCACUUGGAUGGGUAUUUUAUUAACAAUAAAGCUUAUACACAAUAUCCAAAUAAAAACAUAAUCCAAAAUAAAACAAAAGGAAAAGAUCUAGAAGCACAAAAAGUGUGGACAAGAAACCUCAAAAGUCAGUGCUUCUCCAAAAUGAAUCCGGCCAGUCAAGCUCCGAUCGGUGACGAGAUAGUCCACUAGCCAAGUUUUGCUUUGUGCUGGAGGAAUCCUCAAACUGAGGACAAACUUUUGAAGCACCUCUGCAAGCUACCAUCAGGUUUAAAGAGUGAAGCAUUUUAGAUUUUGUUAGAAACUGGUUCUAAAGGCUCUCUAGUGUGUUGCUGAGUAGAAAUCAAUUGCUGAUCAACUAUUACAGAUGGCUGACCAACGACCGUCAAGGCCAUGGAUGGAUGAUCAAGAUCUACGUAUUAGGGUUCUACAUGAAAAUCGAUGUUUCUCGUCUUUUACUAACUUUGUUGCCUAUGAUUUUGCGGAUUUAAAAAGCUAAAACGUUGUAAAACAUUUGGCACCUGUUGAUGCAUGUAAAUAAAUGAUUUUUUUAAUCAAAAUGAGAUAAGAUAAAUAAA